GAGAAGAUUUGUAAGUAGAGGUGACAUGCCUAACGAGCCUGGUGAUAGCUGGUUGUCCCAGAAAAUGAAUCUAAGUUCAGCUUUAAAGAUACCAAAAUUCAAAUAAACCCCACUGUAGCUUUAAAAGUUAGUCUAAAAAGGUACAGCCUUUUAGAAACGGAUACAACCUUGACUAGAGAGUAAAAUUUAACACUACCAUAGUAGGCCUAAAAGCAGCCAUCAAUUAAGAAAGCGUUAAAGCUCAACAACAAAAUUAAAUAGAUUCCAACACAAAUGAUUAACUCCUAGCCCCAAUACUGGACUAAUCUAUUAUAGAAUAGAAGCAAUAAUGUUAAUAUGAGUAACAAGAAAAAUUUUCUCCUUGCAUAAGUCUAAGUCAGUGCCUGAUAAUACUCUGACCACUAACAGUCAAUAAAAAUAAUCCAACAAUAAACAAUUUAUUGAUUAUACUGUUAACCCAACACAGGAGUGCAUCUAAGGAAAGAUU
rnacentral:rRNA from 1 species